ACUCCAGCAGCAGUGUGUGCUCCCUAAACAAGCCCGAGCAAUGCGCUUAUUUGCCGCACACAUCGCCAGGGAGACACGCUCCGCGCUGAAAUGAGCCGCAGGAUUAAACAGGGCAACUUUUAAAAAUCAUGGCCGAGACGGUGGGAAAGUAAAGCGAGACGCUUUGAGUACGGACUGCGCUCUGCGUACUACACGCACACGAGUAUGCACGAGCCCAGCUGAUCGAGACUCGAACCCGCGGCGUUUGACGUGAAGAACCGUUAUCACCGACUCUACAUCCCCGUUCCCCGCAGACACGGCCGAGAUUAGUUCAUCAGUGCCGUGCAAUCACUAAUGAUGGCGGGAGCGGGAAUAUUGCUGGUGACGGCCAAUGUCGGAUCGCUGUUUGAAGAUCUGGAGAAUCUGCAGAAGACGUGGCUGCGGGAGUUUUACCAGACCGUUCAAGCACACAGGCCUCAUUUUGUGGCGGUUCACUGUCAGGAAGUUGGCGGGAAGAAUUAUGAAGCGUCCAUGACACACGUGGACAGCUUCAUCAAAGAGCUGCUGUCCAGUGACGCCAUGAAGGAGUUCAACAGAGCACGCAUCUACCUCGACAAGAACUACCAAUCACAGGAGCAGUUCACAGCGCUGGGAUGUUGCUACUUCCUCCACGAAUCGCUGAAAAACAUCCAGCAGUUUGAUUUCAAAGCCAAGAAGUUCAAGAAGGUGGUUGGGAAGGAGAUUUACUCCGACACGCUGGCGAGCUCCAGCAUGCUGGAGAAAGAGAAGUUUCCUCGAGACUAUUUUCCUGAGUGUAAGUGGUCCAGGAAAGGUUUUAUCAGAACUCGAUGGACUCUCGCUGACUGUGCCUUCGACCUGGUCAACAUCCACCUGUUCCACGAUGCAUCAAACUUGGUGGCGUGGGAAAAAAGUCCUUCAGUCUAUUCCGGCACGCGACAGAAAGCACUCAGCUACGUGCUGGACAGGAUCACAGAUCAGCGUUAUGAUCGGCUGCCGUAUUUCCUCUUCGGUGACUUUAACUUCAGGUUGGACUCCAAGCAGGUUAUUGAGAGUCUCUGCUCGACUGCCAGCAUGCAGACAGUGAGAGCGCCCGACACCAAUGAAGUGGAUAAAGUCAUCUUCAGAGAAUCUGACAACGAUCGCAAGGUCGUCUUACAGCUGGAGAAAAAGUCAUUUAACUACAUUAACCAGGAUGUUUUCCGGGAAAACAAUGGGACUCUGCUUUUACAGUAUGAUAAGGAGCUGUCCGUCUUUAAGGAACGUCUUCAUGAGCUGGAGAUCUCGUUUCCUCCCAGUUAUCCGUACAGUGAAGACAGCAGUCAGGGGGAGCAGUACAUGAACACUCGAUGUCCCGCCUGGUGUGACCGAAUCCUGAUGUCAGCCUCGGCCAAAGAUCUGCUCAUAAAGUCAGAGAAUGAGGAGAAGUCAAUCGUGUAUGACAACAUGGGACCCAACGUCUGUAUGGGGGACCACAAGCCGGUCUUCCUGUUCUUUCGGUUAAUCACUGGUGCUGCUAAACCUCACACACAUAAGCACAACUGUUGUGUCCUGCAGUGAUCGGGGAGAUGUUGCCAAAGUCUGGAGAAGAUUUCAUGAAAAACACCCCUUGUGCCAACUGAGUGUGCCAACUGUGUGCCAACUGAGUGUGCCAACUGUUGAACAGUCAAGUGUACUUUGAGUUCAUCCUCUAAAAUGAAGAAUAUCUUGUAUUAUAGUGCCACACCUGUUAAUAUCCUGAUUACUCUCAGAGUAACUGUAAUCACGAGUACAUGAUAUAUUACAUUUCUCAUUCAUCCUCCAGCGCUGUUUAAGUGUGUUAUUGAUUCAUGCAUUACACUGUACAGAAUCUGUUCAGUUGAUUCUUGAUUUGUUGAAUCCCGUCAGCAGGAUGAGUUUGUGUGGUUUCACUGUGAUUCAGUUCCAUGAAAGGUCAGGAGAUAAAAUUCCCAGUUUUCCUUCAGCAGACAGGGAUGAGACCCGGAACCCCACGACACGCUUUCACACAAUAUUGAAAUAUUAUUACACUUAUUAUUAAUUAUAUUGUUCUUUAAGUGGAUUUAUAUUGUUACUUAUUGGUUAUAAAAGAAUGAUCAUUUGUUAUUAGCUGCAGGAAGUCCUGCUUAAAAUAUCUCCGUAUUAUAAAUCCAAUAAAGGUAAAAUAAUGUUCAGAAACUCUCAUUAAACGUGUGUGUGUGUGUGUGUGUGUGUGUGUGAGUGUGUGUGUGUCUGUGUGUGUGUGUGAGUGUGUGUGAGUGUGUGUGUGUGUGUGUGAGUGUGUGUGUGCUUGUGAGUGUGUGUGUGUGUGUGUGUGUGUGAGUGUG